GUGGAAGUGAUCUAUUCAUGGUGCAAGCCACAAAUAGAUAGGCAAAUUCAUUCAUUCAUUUACCGCUUAAUUCAUUCAAGAUUUGAAGUCGAGCAUUACCUUCCAUCAAAAUCAGAUUACUUCAAGUGUUACAAACCAUCGACAAUUUCAUCAUACAAGCCAAGUACAUCACCUAUUCUAUCACAACAUCACCAUCACAAAGUUUCCAAAAGUCAUGGCCAUUUACACCAUAAAUCAUUACAUCAUUUCAAGUAUUUUCCAAGGUUACAUUCCUAUCAUACUUCAAUACAUCAAAAAAAUUACAAGAAAGCAUUAAAUCUAAACCUAAUUGCCUAA